GACCACUGACUUUGCUAGCAGUUGCAGGCAGUGUGCCCCUACCACCCCUGGGUGAUGGGCUAAGGGUCAUGGUUCUGCUUGAGAGGAGAGGAGCUUGGGAAAGGGUUGAGAUAAACCAGCACAACCCUGCCCUUCCUGACCUCUUAGGCAUUGAUGCCCAGCGGGCAACUGGAUCGAGUUACCAUUCCUGACAACUACCUCCACCUGCUGAUGGCAAGGACAAUUUUAGCAGGCUCCAGGGGAGAGGUUGUGGCUAGAGACAUAUUGGCUCUUCCCUUGCCUCUUCUUGGGUUGAGGUCUCGAAAGACCACUCAGCUGCCUAUUUUUGAGGGUCGCUUGUAGUUGCAAUAUGAAGAUGCCUCCUUCCCUCGGUUAUGUGGAGCCUAGGUAAAUGAAAGAGUUCUGGAUAGAGUCUUGAUUUCAAGGGAAGAACUGCUCAAUUCAAUUUUUGGAAGCAAGGCAGAGAGAUUGGGCUUUUGAGGGAUAUCUGUUGAGAGACUGCAGUCUUCCCCAUGGUCUUCUACAUGAAAACAUAUCCAGCAAAGCAGAAAAGGCAUUGGAUGGAUAAGUGUGCAAAUCUCAAAAAGAAGCCUCAAAACCUAUUCUUGCUGUUGAAAGAAAUGUUUUUAAUCAUUUAAAGGA